rnacentral:rRNA from 1 species
AGCUUGCUCCCUUAGGUCAGCGGCGGACGGGUGAGUAACACGUGGGUAACCUGCCUGUAAGACUGGGAUAACUCCGGGAAACCGGGGCUAAUACCGGAUGCUUGAUUAACCGCAUGGUUCAAUCAUAAAAGGUGGCUUUUAGCUACCACUUACAGAUGGACCCGCCGCGCAUUAGCUAGUUGGUGAAGUAACGGCUCACCAAGGCGACGAUGCGUAGCCGACCUGAAAGGGUGAUCGGCCACACUGGGACUGAAACACGGCCCAGACUCCUACCGGAAGCAACAGUAGGGAAUCUUCCGCAAUGGACGAAAGUCUGACGGAACAACGCCGCCUGAGUGAUGAAGGUUUUCGGAUCGUAAAACUCUGUUGUUAGGGAAGAACAAGUACCGUUCGAAUAGGGCGGUACCUUGACCGUACCUAACCAGAAAGCCACGGCUAACUACGUGCCAGCAGCCGCGGUAAUACGUAGGUGGCAAGCGUUGUCCGGAAUUAUUGGGCGUAAAGCGCGCGCAGGCGGUUUCUUAAGUCUGAUGUGAAAGCCCCCGGCUCAACCGGGGAGGGUCAUUGGAAACUGGGGA